CCCGUGGUGAAGUGACCGAGAGAUACGAAGAUCAGGACGAGGGUAAGGGCCCCCGCCGUUAUGGACCUUGCUCUCUUUUGCCGGUGUGUACUUCACCGUGGGCGAAGUACUAGUGUGGCCGUGUGGACACCACUUUCCGUCCUGCUCUCUUUAUUUCUUCUUGAAUGUAUAAAAUUAUUUACAAGUUGAUAAAACAGAACAAUAUAGAUAUGAUUACAAUUGAUUUCUUAUAUUUAAUUAAGUUCUAUAGUUCCUGAUUAUUGGAUGCUUCUUCUUCAGCAAAGGGUUGGGUGGGUGGGAUUUUCCUUUUAUGUUGUCUCGAAGACGGUUGAAACCAGAGUGAACUGAGAUAAAAUUUGGCUAGCUUUUGCUGAUAACUGAAGAAUGUCGGCUUAGCAAAAUGGGAUUAUAUUGGCAAUUUGGCAUUGACGCUUGGCGGAUAUUGCCCGGAGAGCAAGGCGGUUGUUUUCUUUGCUUAUUGUUUCCGUUUAGGUUACAUAGUUUUCGGUAUGGAUGUUGCCUCUUAUUAAUCCUAAUUUAUUUUUUAAAAUAAAUUGCUCCUUUAUAAACUGCAUAUAAAAUUCUCAAUCUGAUCCCAAUCUAAUCAGCACUAUAGCUACUUGUAAUUCACAUUUACCAAAUCACAAGCUUGGAAAUCGUGAAAAAGCUUAUGUACCCCACAGUAUCUCGCAGUAUACAUUAAUUAUCUGCCGUACUCACUGCUCCUUGUACAGGCUUUUUAUAGUGAGGCCAUUGCUGUAUUACAUCGGGAUAUUUAAACAUGUUGUAGACAACAGAUGCGGCCAUUGCACUGGCAAAUGGCUGCCAAUCUUAUCCUCUGUCGCUGAUUUGUUUCCAUCGGCAAAAUUUGACACUUCUUUAACAACAGCCCAUUCUAUCCCAAGAUUAUUACGCAGCUGCAUAUAUUACGCGAUUAUUACGCAGCUCGGAUAUUACGCAGCUGCAUAUAGACCUAAAAAUUAAGUACCAGUUAAAAUAAUGCACUUACAUGAGAUCGCGCGUUAUUCUUGUUAGUUUGUCUAGUUGUUUUACAAUUUCAAAAUUCCAAAAUCCAGGCCUGGAAAUCCUGGAAAAUCAAGUCAUGGAAAGUCAUGGAAAAUUGAAAUUUUACAUACCAUCAACAAUGUAUUUUACUUAUUUCAAUUUACCAGUCAUAGCAAUAAUAUGAAUUGUUGUUAUAUAACGGAUUUUUGCAAGAGCGAAGUGAAUUUUGUUUUUUUAUUAUAU